UUUGGGCAAAUAAAUGCAUUUUAAGCAGGCAGCCUUAGCAGGCAGUGCUGUCUGCUGCCAUUUUUGCCCUAAAUUAAUGCAGAAGGUUUCUGUCUGGCUUCUUUGAGCAUGGAGGCCGGGUCGUUCCCCUUCUUACAUG
ensembl:scaRNA